CACGCUUGAUUUGGCUUUCUGCCAGCGAGAGCAUUGUCCCAGCACCUUUUCCUUUCAACCUUUUCUACUAAAACUACAAGAAACAAAUUUAUGUCAAAGAACAUUGACUGGCUGGAGAGCUGAUAUAAGUUAGUGUUGCUGAAAUGCUGCGAAGAUGUAGAACACUUCAGAAAUGCUGCUUGUCCUGAAUGGCGAUCCGAACAGGUGGUAAAUGAAUAUCCACGCAGAGGAGAGUGGAGACUCAGACUUUGUACUCGGGAGAGUGGUACCUCUCGAAGUUCGGUCCACAACGGAUCAGCUGAGCACUGCUGCAAUUUAUAGGAAAGAAUCAAGAUCCUUCUCCUUGUCAAAAGAUUAAUGAUACAUGUCCAUAUGGAAGAAGUUAUGCAAGAAAGUUUUCUGUCGGUCCAAGUGCAAGUGAAUUCUCUUUAUCUUCCACUGACUUAUCUGAGUUCCAGCGAGGUCAACAACUCCCCUCUCCCCUGCAUUCCUCCGUCCUGCAUUUUUAUCAUUGCUUCAGAGAUAUUAGACUCCUUCAUACCAAACACUAAGGAACCUUCAUAAGAGAAGGUUUCUGCUGCUGAGACCUUAAGGACGGAAAAGAUGCAGCAAGACUCAGGCACUCUUUGGACACAGCUUGCCUACAGAUCCACGGGAAACGUGCAGCAAGGUCUUCAGCCAGCCUAUUGCAGUGACUUCAGUAAAGGUUCCCCUCACACUUGAUUUAAGUGUUUAUACCAGAUGACCAUUGCCCUAAAUGCCAGUGAGUGUACUCAGGCAUAGUUUAUUACAACAGGAUGUUAUAGACAUUUCAGUUUCACGUGCUCCCACAGACCAAGAUUAAUUUAGGAAUCCUGUUAAUUCUAAAAGCUGAACCAAUAAAGCACAGUAAGGGCUAAGCAGUGUUUGCCAGAAUAAAAUAAGUUGAAAAUAAUCCAACUCUUUUCUUGGGGUUCGUACUUGCUUCCCUUAGCCUGUGUGCAAACCUUCUGAGGAGCAAAGGCUGUCAAGAAUGCUGAAAGUCAAUUACUACCGGCUCUCAGAGUACAACACAGAAGAAAACCAUCUAAUUUUGGCAAAAAUGCUCACUCUACACUCAUAUUGCUGCUGGUUUUCAAAGGUACAUUGUUGCUUAUUAAUAUGAACCCAAAAGAUUACUAUUAACUCAGGGAUAUGUGUCCACUCGAAAAGAUUGUGACUGACCUUAUGGUACAUGAAAGCAUUGGUAUAGCUAAGGUGACAAAAGGGUGUUCUUUUACAUCAUCAAGCUAGCUCAACUGAAAUUACAUAAGUAUAUAAGAUAACACCCAACAAUACCAUUAGCUGCUGCUAAAGAGGAAGCUAUUGAAUUGAACUGGCAUUAUGCAUCAGUGGAAGGGGUGAGAGAAUUCAGUUCUGGCCGAAAAAGAAGCAAUAAAAAAGCUGGUUUAUGGGAUCUGUUUUUGUUUUGAGAAGCUAUCAUGCAACAUCACAACACUGUCAACGCAGUUCCUUCCUCUUCUGUCUGUACUGGUCCGACUUAGUGUUUGCUGACUGUCUUGAUUCUUUCAUUGAUAGUAUAUGGACACUAUUUUAAUUGUCAUCUGCUCCGUAUUUAGCUUCAAACUGUCCCAUGAACACCUCUACCUUCGCUUGACAGAAGUAACGUCCUACACAAUGGCAUAGGGCAGGUCUUUCAUCUGUGACUACAACGCAUAUUACAGAGACUCUAGUACUACAAAUUCACGGCAAAAUCACACAGGAAAGUCACCUCCAUUGGGAAGAUCCAGCUAAUCCAGCAAAGCCCUAAGCCAGGUUUUCACCAGCUCAGAGAUGUUAAUAAAAUCUGUUCUGUAAAGAGAUACACCGAUAAUUUCAGUAAACUCAGGAACUAGUAUCGUGAGACAGAUAGAUGCUGCACAUAACGUCUAGAGAAAAAAAAAUAUGACUUCAUUGAAUAAAGCAAGCACAAAUGGUACAUUGAAAGCAUUUAAGCAAAAGUGCAAGAUCCACAGAGAAUAUCAUCAUGGACAGUAAAUAAAAGGCUCCACAGGCAGUCACUCUGUGCACCCAUGGCUAGAUUUCAAGAUGCCAUUAAGUAUCUCUGUAAACAAUUUAUUUAUUAAGGAGACAGUUUGAUUUACAAGUAUUGGGUCCAACAAGUUACUAUCUAGCAAGAAGCAUCAGGGCACAUCUGUUCAGUGUCUGACUGGAACUCCACUUGCUUACCAAGUGCGCACAGCCCCCUUAGUCCAAAGCACUUUACAGACUUUCAUAUAAAGUCUCUGUUGCAUUUUGCUAUUAAAGGAAGUUACUUACAAGGUGGAAGCACAUAGAAGUAACAAGAUUGUGUCCAGCUAACAGAAAAAAACAAAGUAAGGGGUCAAAGUUAAAUCCCAGGAAUGCAGUUUGAGCUGACCCACUAAGACUAAUGCUCAGAGGUGGGCAGAAGCAUCCAUGUGUCACCGGCACCUGCGACUGUAUGAGAGCUUGGUGUGACUUCCUACACAAAAGAUGGCACCAUCACUCCUUGUACUACCCCACCACCUGGAAGACGAAUUCUUACUGACUCCAGGGAACACUUCCUUCUGCUGCAUCAUCAGCCAUGGACAAGUCUGGCCAAGGGUAUUUUGCUGAUCGUGACAGUGGCAGGAAAGCAGAACAUUUGUAAUAAGGUUUCCCCACCACAGAACUUAGUUGUUUCAUAAAUGCACAUCAAUUUGUAAAAUACAAACAGGUGACAUUCCCUUUUUUUUUUUUUUGAUUGACUAAAUAGAAUUAUCCUGUAGA